rnacentral:rRNA from 1 species
GACGAACGCUGGCGGCGUGCCUAAUACAUGCAAGUCGAGCGAAAAGACGCGGCGCUUGCUCCUCUGACGUUAGCGGCGGACGGGUGAGUAACAUGUGGAUAACCUACCUAUCAGACUGGGAUAACUUCGGGACACCGGCGCUAAUACCGGAUAAUAUAUUGAUCCGUAUGGUUCAAUAGUGAAAGACGGUUUUGCUGUCACUUAUAGCUGCAUCCCCGCCUCAUGAGCUAGUUGGUAAGGUCAAGGCUUAUCAAGGCAACGAUGCGUAGCCGACUUGCGAGGCUGAUCGGCCACACGGGAACUUAGACACGGACCAUACGCCUACGGUAGGCAGCAGUAGGGAAUCGGCCGCAAUAGGCGAAAGCCUUACGGAGCAGCGGCGCGUGAGUGAUGAAGGUCUUCGGAUCGGAAAACUCGGUUAUUAGGGGAGAACAAAUGUGUAAGUAACUGAGCACGUCUUGACGGUACCUGAUCAGAAAGCCACGGCUAACUACGUG